CUGGUAUCAAAAUCUAUAUUGCACCCUUUAUUAUGCAUUAGGAGUCUUUAAAUUCUUUUGGCUAGAUUUUCCAGUAAGGCAUUUUUUUCUUUUUGGAUAGUCUUAUCAGCAUUUUAGCACGUUUUGCUAAGUUCUAAAGAGUGAGAUCAAUUCUUAGCGAAUCAUGAGUAGAUUACUUUCGUCCUAUAUGCUAAUGAAGGGGCAAACAUUCGUCUGGCGGUAUGAGAGAUGUGAGAUCGAACGUCUUUUAUAUGACAAUGAAGAUAUGGCUCAAUUAUACUUAACAAGGAAGUGGAUACAGAAUCAGCAAUCUGAGGCUUUGAUGGGAGAAAUGGCAGCAAAUGGCAUUUUUUCCACUGUACCUCUUCUCAGACAGCUUUACAAGAAGUGGUGCUUUGGUAAGCAACUAUCUAAAUGACAAAACAUGGAGGACAUAGAAAUGUUACUUGAAGCUUACUUCAUGCAACUGGAUGGCACUCGUAACAAGAUACUGUCUGUAAGUAUAUCCUUGACUAUCACACGACAUUCUUUUUUUUUCCCUCUUUUUGAUUUUAUUCUCGUAGUAAAAUAUGUUGAACAGUAAAGGUAUUUUACAAGACAAUUUGCAGUCCUUUAAUUAUUAUAAUUUCAUUAAUAGAACUUGAUAGCAUUUUGGUUACAAUAUCUUCAACCAUUUUUUUGCUCUCUUACCCGUUUUCAGCUGCUUUAACUAUCCAACUUUUGUCCUGUGUCUCCAAGACAAUUGCAGUCCUAUGAUUUUUUGUAACAUCAUUUAUAGAACUUUAUGCGUAUUUUUGUUCGAAGGUCUGCUGCCAUUUUAUUUUUUUUGGGUCUCUCACCUAUUUUCAGCUGCUUAAUUAUCCAACUUUGUCCUGUGUAUCUCAUAUUUACCAUUUAAGACUAUCCUUGACGUGCUCAACUAGAUUUUGGAAGCUAAUAAAUUUAUGAAUUGUGGAAAUUUCUAUGUAGGAUUCACCUUGAUGAAACAGCAUCUCAUUUGAACACUGAACCUGUAGAAUAGCCUGCAAUGCUGACCGAAACUUCUGGCUCUCCUAAAUUUGACAAUCUGAAAUUGAUUGCAAACGAGAAAUUCAAAAGCUAACCAUUUCCUUACCUGUUUUUUGUUUUUUCUGAGAAUAUAUGUCUGCUUAAUGAAUGUUCAAAAGUCCAGUGGCAUGAAUAACUUUACUUUUUCUAUUCUCUUGCACUUCCACUUUUUUAUGCCCCCUGUUUGACAACCUUUAUUUGAAAACUACUUUUUCUACAUACUUAUUUUCAAUUACACAUUCACACGAUAAAAUAUUGUACAUGUAGACUCAAAACUUUUUCCUACUUUUUAAGAAUAAUGAUAUUUGCAAUCACUCAAUGUCGUAGUCACCCUAUAUGGCAUACUACGUGACAUACAUGUGACGGUUAAUGAUUUGAUAUGUGAGGUAAGAAAAACCUACCAUAUUAAUAUAUCAAAUCACGAACCGUCAUGUAGCAUGCCACGUAGGAUGACUGUCGUAGUGAGAGACUAUGAAUAGCAUUACUCAGUUUUUAACCACACGCACUCUAAAAAAUUACUAUUUAAAACUUUAUUCUUGUCAAUAAAUGGUCAUCAAACACGGUCUAAAUUAAAACUCUUUAUUUUUUGUAUUUAUUUUCAACCACACAUUUAUAAUAUUUUGCACGUAAACGCAAAAUUUUUCCAUAUUUUUUAACCAUACAUUCUCCAAAAAUCACUAUUCGAAACAUCAUUUUCCCCAAAUUCUCUUUAUAAUGACCAUCAGCUCGAGUACUCAUUAGAGCAAACUACUUCCGAUGCAUAACUGUCGUCUUCUUUAUAGACAUUGAUUUUUCAUGUGUGAAAUCUCCAGGUACGGGAAGGACAUUGAUGACAGAGGAUUAUGUUGACAUCCAACUUGACAAUCAGUGAAACGAACUUAUUCAACUGCAAUCCACAUUGGCAAUUAAUUUGCCAUAGCCGUAGAGGCUAUGAUGGCUGGAUGGUUCGGCAUGAACAUCCCUUACAAAUUGUAUGAUAAGAGCAUGCUACACGUACAGGGGUCUAUUUUAUAGACCCCUGCCAGAUAACACACAUGUGCGGGUCCCGA
rnacentral:lncRNA from 1 species